rnacentral:rRNA from 1 species
UACAGAGGUCUCAAGCGUUGUUCGGAUUCAUUGGGCGUAAAGGGUGCGUAGGUGGCCAACUAAGUCAGACGUGAAAUCCCUCGGCUUAACCGGGGAACUGCGUCUGAUACUGGAUGGCUUGAGUUCGGGAGAGGGAUGCGGAAUUCCAGGUGUAGCGGUGAAAUGCGUAGAUAUCUGGAGGAACACCGGUGGCGAAGGCGGCAUCCUGGACCGAUACUGACGCUGAGGAGCGAAAGCCAGGGGAGCAAACGGG